AGGACAGAGAUCUCAACAUCCCAGAUCCCACGGACAUCCGUGCGGAACUCGAUAUUCCCAUUCCUGAUCCCAUCAAGGAUAAACUGAAGGAGGAAGAGAGAAAGAAGAGAGAAGAAGCAAAGAAGGAGAAAGGGAACGAGAAGGAGGAGAAGAAGAAAAAGAGGAUGAGGAUGAGGGCCCCCCCUGCGGCCCCAUCCCGAGCAAUGAGAGGAUCUCGGCUCUGAUCACCAGGAUUAAAGCGGAGAUCAGGAUCCUGAAGGAGAGCAGCAGCAUCGUCAGCCUCUGGAUACAACUGCAGAUUCCGAAGAUUGAAGAUGGGAACAACUUUGGAGUCGCUGUGCAGGU